GGGGAAGUGUCGGAACUGGUAGACGAGCAUGAUUUAGGAUCAUGUGCUGAAAGGCGUCCGGGUUCGAGUCCCGGCUUCCCCACCA
rnacentral:tRNA from 8 species